rnacentral:rRNA from 1 species
GGAAAUCUCACCAGGCCCGGACACUGGAAGGAUUGACAGAUUGAUAGCUCUUUCUUGAUUCGGUGGGUGGUUGUGCAUGGCCGUUCUUAGUUGGUGGAGUGAUUUGUCUGGUUAAUUCCGAUAACGAACGAGACCCCAACCUGCUAACUAGCCCUCGGGUCCUGCUUCUGUUGGGCCCGACGGAAUGAUUCGCUUCUUAGAGGGACUCGCGGCGCCUAGCCGCACGAAGGGGGGCGAUAA